CAUUUCUCAGGAAGCCCUGAACACUGCAAUAGAAUAGAGGAGGAAAUAAAGGUGAUUUAAUACAACCAUCAGAGCACAAAAUAUUUUACAUGCCAAUGUACAACAGUAUAACACCAAUGCAAAACUUACUCUAAACAACCAUUGUAGAAUUUCCAAGCUUAUUGAAAUUGAUGGUUGACUCGGGUAAGCCUACACAAACAAAAACAACUUUGGAAUUAAUACUUUUGGCAUUCAAAACUCGGGAUAUCUAAUAUAUUUUCCAUUUUCCACAUGAAUAUCUUAGUAGGAUAAACCUCCCAUGAAUUGUUGAGGCUGAUCUUGAAGCUAUCAUAUAGAUCACCUAUAUAACAACAAUCUGGAUUCCCUGGCCAACACUGAGAUGCAAUGUUUUGGACAUCUGGCCACACGUAACAAGAGCAUGCAGGUACAGAAAAUAAAGACGUGUAUUGCAGCGGCCAUCCAUCUUGAUGAAAGAAUGGUAUAAAUAUUAGAGGAAAAGUGACACGGGUCCGCGUCUUGCCCAUAACAAAUAGAACCAGGCAAGAAAUCCCGGGAUUCGGAACUAAGAAAGCAAGU
rnacentral:lncRNA from 1 species